AUGUUAGUGGUGUGGAAAAUAUCAAAGAAAAGCCUUGAAGCAUUCCCAAGCAUGAUAAAGGAUUUCAUCAGGCUUCUAUUUAAAGCUCACUAUCUUACUGUGAAGUCU
rfam:Capsicum annuum cultivar Zunla-1 chromosome 5, whole genome shotgun sequence